UUUGCAGAGGACAGACAAAUCUUUACUGCAAGUGCAUCAAAGAAUCAAUGGCAUUAUGCAGCAGCAAAGCAUGGCCAAUGUUGCAAGAAAAGUAAAGUACACUUGAAGAGAUCGAACGAGUAAUCCCGGUGAAAGAACACAAACAAUUGUUGUAUAUUUAGAAACAAGUUGCUGGAUCAAGACAACUUGCAUUAUUCUGAAAUAUUGAUCAUAUGAUCGAAUUACGAUAAGAUGAAGAAGAGGCACCAGAACUACUAUAAUUCAUUUUUCUAAUACAGGCAGUGCAAAGCAUUUGAACUUUUAGUUAAUUUAAUUGAUUAUGCCAAAUUGUUUGCAAGACAAUUAAGAGAGGAUAUACUGGAGUUUAGGUCAACAUCGGACUGAAUAUUGAGACAGCUUAAUCAUAGUGAAAGAAAACAUACAUCGAAUGUAUUUUAUCGGAGUAUCGAGGGAAUUUAACUAAUUAUUUUCAAUGUCAAGAGAGUUUUUAUCAUUGCAAAAUAUUGACCAAGAGAAACAAUUUCCUAUAAUAAAAUUUUCAUAUUAUGAUUUUGGUUCUAAAGUUAUAUAAUUAAAAAAAAUAUAAGUAA